UUUACAGUAAUGGAGACCUCUGUGUUCCAACGAGCAUGGAAGUGAGGCAUACAUGUUUCAUCAGAUAUGUCUGAAAGCAUGUCUGUGCAGCACCUGGUUCACCUGAGCUGACCUGAACAGACAAGCUUUGGGCAUGCAGCUGCACAGCUCCGCCUCCUGCACCGGGGCUUCAUAGAGCUGUCAACCCCAAAUUAACAACACGCACAACGGGAGGCGGAAUUCACAGUAGGCCUACGUAUACGGAAGCAGACAACGGGAUUCAUAUCUAAAUAUGUAGGCUACGGUUGUGAUUUUGUGUCCGGUGCAAAGCGAAUAUGGCUACAAGCGCAGACCCAGAGAUAGUUAUUAUAGGAUGCGGGAUAGCAGGUAUAGCGGCGGCACAGCGGCUCGUUAACGCUGGGUUUCAUCAUGUGAGGAUACUUGAAGCGACUGCAAGGAGCGGAGGAAGAAUAAAAACCGAAAGAUUGGGUAACAACAUUACAGAAAUAGGUGCAAGUUAUAUCCACGGUCCAUCUGAGGAGAACCCGGUGUUUUGUCUGGCACGUGACUAUGGCCUCCUGGAUCCAGAGGCCCUCACCCAAGAGAAUCAGGCCAUGGACCUCGAUGAACGCCUUCCCUGGGUUCCCAACUGGUUCAGCAGUUCAGGUCAGAAGCUCAGUGCUGAAGACAUGAAACCUGCUCUGGAGAUGUUUGAUGAGCUAUUGGAGGAUACUUUCCAGUUUCGAAAUCAAGGAGAAAAGCCCUGGGCCAGCGUAGGACAUUUUGUUCGAUCAGAGGCACAACAGCGAGCAGCAGAGAGGUGGGCCAAUAAGGAUGAAAGCACCAGGAAGCUGCUACUGUGUGCCAUCAGUGCCAUGUUGAAGGAGGAGUGCUGUGCCAGUGCAGCUCCCACCAUGGACGAGAUAGACCUGGCAGGAUAUAACAUCUACAAAGCUCUAACUGGACUCGACUGCACAUUCCCAGAUGGCUACGAAGGCCUAAUCCAGAACUUGAUGUCGGAGCUCCCCAGUGGUUUAGUGACCUACAAUCGGCCUGUUCACUGUGUCCACUGGGAUAACACAGAGAGCGGAGACAGCACUGUUACGGCUGAGUGUAAUGAUGGGGAGAGGAUCGCUGCUGAUCAUGUUAUUGUCACAGUGCCUCUAGGAUACCUUAAGAAGCACCAUUCAACCCUGUUCUCUCCUCCUCUACCUGCACACAAGCUGAACUCCAUCCAGAGACUGGGAUUUGGAACAUGCAACAAAAUAUUUGUAGAGUUUGAAUCUCGGUGGUGGGAUGCUGACUGUGAGAUAAUCUUCCUGGUGUGGGAAGAUGAGGAGGACAUUUUGGACCAGGUGUCCAACAAUUCCUGGAUAAGGAAGUUGUCAGCGUUCACUGUGAUCAAACGUGCUGAAAGCCACGUUCUCUGCGGCUGGAUCGCUGGGCACGAGUCGAAGUAUAUGGAGACACUUUCUGAGCAGGAGGUCAGACUUUCAGUCGCGGAGCUCAUCCGUACAUUCACAGGAAAUCCUACCAUCACCCCAACGAGAAUCCUCCGCUCCCAGUGGUUUCAUGACCCCUGGACAUGCGGAUCGUACAUUUACCCAGCAGUAGGCUGUGUAGUGCAGGACCUGGAGAACAUGAUGGAGCCCCUGCCUAUGAAGGGAUCACAGUCACAGCCCCUGCAGGUGUUAUUCGCUGGAGAGGCUACUCAUCCAUACUACUAUUCCACUGUCCAUGGAGCUCUUCUCACUGGGUGGAGAGAGGCUGACAGACUCAUCUCUCACUACUCCAUCAGUCCAGAUUAAAAAAUUUAAAAGAGGAACACAUAAAAACUGUUUUUUAAUCCCCAAAACAUAAUGCAGUAAUACUGAAAAAAAGACCUCCAAAGAUUUCGCACAUCUGUUUCCAGGUUUUGGGGAGUACGACUGCAUACUGUAUGUGACCAGAGUGAAUCUGAGAUUAGACAACAUCAGAAAAUGACAAAAGCUGCAGACGAUGUUACGCAAGCAAGUGUUGAAGGCAAAGUGCCCUCCACCCUGUUCACCUCCAGUCAUUAUAUCCAGAGUCCAGGACAAGCUCAAGCAAAGGCUCAUUCCUCUACUCAUCCAGAUCAUCAACACUUCUCCAUCUUCCUGACAUCUCAUCUUCACCACCUUUACCACCACCACCACCGUCUAGACCUCUUGGGAUUUGGUUGGGAUGAUGUUGGACGAAACAUAGCAGUACCACUGGAGAUCAUGAAGGCAGUGUAAUGUAAUUCAAGCAAGAAACCGUGGGUACUGGAUUUCCUGACUAACAGGACGCAGACUGUUAGGAUCCACUGCAGCACGUCCUCACCCACCACCCUCAACACUGGUUCCCCCCAGGGCUGUGUAUUGAGCCCCCUGCUGUACACGCUGCUGACAUACCACUGCUCGGCAGGGUACCCGAGCUGUCAUAUUGUCAAGUUCGCAGAUGACACCGCGGUUGUGGGACUAAUAUCCCAUAAUGAUGAGACAGAGUACAGGCAGGAGGUGCAGCAACUGGAGGUCUGGUGCAGAGCAAACCUCGCAUAAAUGUGGCGAAGACCAAAGAGCUGAUUAUCGACUUCAGGAGGAGCAGCCACCCCCCUACUCCGCCCUCCAUAUUGCAGGUGAAGCUGUACAGGUGGUCCCCAGCUUCAAGUAUCUGGGACUACACAUUACAGACAACUUCACCUGGUCUGCCAACACCUGUCUGCCUGUGUGGUCAAGAAGGCCCACCAAUGCCUUUACUUUCUAAGGAAAUGAAAGCAUGCUGGCCUUGGGUCCCCCGCCCUUGUUGCCUUCUACAGAUGUGCAGUGGAGAGUGUCCUGACCCAGGCCGUUACUGUAUGGUAUGGCAACUGCACUGCAGCAAACAAGAAAGCUCUGCAGCGGGUGGUGAAAUCCACUGAGAGGAUCACCGGCUGCAAAUUUGCACCCAUCAGAGACAUUUAUGUCAGCCGCUGCAGGAGCAGGGCCUCUAACAUCAACGAGGACCCAACACACUCUGAACAUGACUUGUUCACCCCACUGCCCUCAGACAGAAGACUGAGCAGUAUUAAAGCAAGGACCUCAUGCCUCAGAUCCAGUUUUUUUCCUGAGACAGUCAGACUUCUGAAUAAUACAUAGCCCACAAGCUGAGCUGACUAUACUGCAUAAAUUGACUGUGACUUCCUUAUUUAUCGUUUAACUAUGUGUUUUUAACUUACGUAUUUAACUUAACUUUGCCCCUCUUUUUAUUUAUUGUGCUCUCACUGGGCCUUGAGCACCUAAUUUCGUUCUCUCAUGUACCCCAUGCAGGAAUGAAAAUAAAUGAACCUUGAACCUUGAA